UAUUGCAGGGGUCCUGCCUGGGUGAUAUGUAGCUGAGUAGCAGAUGCCGUUUGUGCUGCUGUCUGAGGGAAGUGUGCUGUAAACAGCGGAAGGGAAAUGUUGCAGGAGCAAGCAAUGAGCUGUACCCAGGUGGUUCCAGCAUAUCCAGCUUACAUUGGCCAAGACUUCAUGGCCUGAGUGGGUGGAAGCUCCUCACCUUUAUUGUGCUGGAAUAGCAUCUGACGUGAGAGAUGAGCUGCUGCCCAAUGGGAAAUUUUCUUCUUGACAUCUAGCAUCUUGCUGAAGAGACGAAGAAUAAUGUCGAUGUUGUGCAGCAUUCAACUCCAUCGGCUUCAAAGGGAUGUGUUCUGCUAUCAGAGGGCUUAGAGUUGCUGUGAGCUGUGUGUAUGUCCAGGUAAAAGUGGCUUCAGCCUGUGACUUACUCUGGGACAGCUGACAACAGCAUCUGAUAAUGUUGCCAAAGGCUUCUGUGCAAGUGAUGAGCAUAUUUCCAUCUUAAGGAGAAAGAGAAGAACCCAGCAGGUCCCCUACAGAACUCUUUUCAAACUCACUGAAGAACUCCUUCCAACCCUGGUGUGUUUUGG
rnacentral:lncRNA from 1 species